CCAGAUAAUAUGGAUGAACUCUGCUCCGA
rnacentral:sRNA from 1 species